GAUGAACGCUGGCGGCGUGCCAAAUACAUGCAAGUCGAGCGAACAGACGAGGAGCUUGCUCCUCUGACGUUAGCGGCGGACGGGUGAGUAACACGUGGAUAACCUACCUAUAAGACUGGGAUAACUUCGGGAAACCGGAGCUAAUACCGGAUAAUAUAUUGAACCGCAUGGUUCAAUAGUGAAAGACGGUUUUGCUGUCACUUAUAGAUGGAUCCGCGCCGCAUUAGCUAGUUGGUAAGGUAACGGCUUACCAAGGCGACGAUGCGUAGCCGACCUGAGAGGGUGAUCGGCCACACUGGAACUGAGACACGGUCCAGACUCCUACGGGAGGCAGCAGUAGGGAAUCUUCCGCAAUGGGCGAAAGCCUGACGGAGCAACGCCGCGUGAGUGAUGAAGGUCUUCGGAUCGUAAAACUCUGUUAUUAGGGAAGAACAAAUGUGUAAGUAACUAUGCACGUCUUGACGGUACCUAAUCAGAAAGCCACGGCUAACUACGUG
rnacentral:rRNA from 1 species